rnacentral:rRNA from 1 species
AACGAACGCUGGCGGCAUGCCUAACACAUGCAAGUCGAACGAAAAGGUCCUGCUUAUGUGGGGUGCUCGAGUGGCGAACGGGUGAGUACCACGUGAGUAACCUGCCCUUGACUUAGGGUUAACUUCAUGACACUGAGGCUAAUCCCGGCUAGGAGCUCCCGCCGCGUGGUGGGGCUUCGAACGUUUCGGCGGUUGGGGAUGGACUCGCGCGUUAUCAGCUUGUUGGUGGGGUGGUCGCUUACCAAGGCUUUGACGGGUAGCUGACCUGAGAGGAGAGACGGCCACGUUGGGCGUGAGGUACGGCCCAGACCCCUACGGGAGGCAGUGGUGGGGUGUAUUGCACUAGGCGCGGAAGCCAGGUGUAGCAACGCCGCGUGCGGGGAGCGGGCCAUCGCUUUGUAAUGCACUUUCGCCUGUGCCGGGACGAGAGUGACGGUAACGGGUAAAGAAGCACCGGCUAACUACGUG